rnacentral:lncRNA from 1 species
CUUUGGUUUGACCAAAUUGGUCAACCUGAAAGAGAUAUAAUGGUCCAAAUUUUGAGAAAAUCUCAUGGACAUCCAUUCUUCCGCUCAAAACGAAGACAUUCGAGAUCUAGCAUCACCAUGAAGCAUGGUGGUGACCCGGGGGACAUUGAGGUCACCCGAACACGACUCCAACUUCCUGGAGGUCGUCCGGUCAAUUCCUCAAGCAAUUGAGGUGCACCGGCCUUUCCUCGAUGUCGCAUUGGCCCCCUGCAAUGCUCAUUGCUCGUUUUGAAAGCCUAUUCUUUAGCUAAAUAAGGAGUGAGACCCUCCUACGCUAAAUAACACAAAAGUGAACAUUCUAUUCUUACAUCAAACUAUGUAGAUAGAUACAACCAGGAAAGAUGCGAUCCAGCAUUAACAAAGAGAUAGGUCCUUGGGCAGGUGAUGCCGACACCGCAAGCUAAACCCUAUCAACUAUACAUUUGUUAGAUAGCGUAGUGAGAACAAGAGCUUAGACUAACCUUAUGGCGCAAGGUCUCUCACUAACACGCACUGGGUCGACUACGAUGAGAUAUGCUCUCGUAAUGGAUGUCAUUGAACUCCACUACUUUGUCAGUUUGGUAGUUUCCGACUAACUGAACAUGCAGCCUAUGAAUGUGGUCAUAAUAACAUCUCUAUGGGAUCAGAGAUAUACAUGAAGAUCUUAAACAGACUUCAUUCAUCUGAAUCAAGUGGCUCCAAACCACAGGAGCAUGCAUUUGCUAAAUGUAUUGAAACGCACAUGAACUCUACUUGAUUUGGAAGGGAUAUGGUGAAUUAUGCCUUUGCGUGUUUAUUCCGGAUUUACAUGGACUCUUGAUGGAUCAAGAGAUGCCAAUAUGUAUCAACAUCCGAAGAAAAAGAUCUUGGGAAGACACAGUCUCGAUAAGGCACUCGAUGACUGUAUUAUUGAUCAAUCGGCUUAGGCGCUCUAUAACUAGUGAGGCCUACAUAUAUACUCCCAUGAUUAGUCAAGGUCUUUGCUCUAAAGAGAGAUCCGUUGUUUUGUCUAAAGCAAGAUGACAAAUAUGUGUUAAGAGAUAGAGUUCCCAUCUAAGUACAAUUAGACGCAUCAAUGUACUCAACACAAUACGAAAGACUUGACAUCUCAUUCGCUAUGAAAAGUUGUAAAGCUAAGUGUAGCUAUGCGCCCACGCAACGCCAAUGUAAUGGCAGUAACUCCUUUUUCAAUACUUAAUGGUAUGAAAUGUUGAGGCUUAUUCUAUCCCUACAUAAGAAAGACACAUCAAAAGCGAAAUCAGAAUCUGCCAAGUUUUGUAGGUCAACUUCCACGAGACCUAUAGGAAAUCUGACUCACUGGAAAAUGGUGAAAUUGGUACCAUUGGAAAGGUCUAUGUGUCUACUUUCCAGGGACACCAACCAUUUGAUCAUACCUAUCAUANNN